rnacentral:rRNA from 1 species
CCUACGGGGGGCUGCAGUGAGGAAUAUUGGUCAAUGGCCGAGAGGCUGAACCAGCCAAGUCGCGUGAGGGAAGACGGCCCUACGGGUUGUAAACCUCUUUUGUCGGGGAGCAAAGCGAGUCACGUGUGACUCAUUGAGAGUACCCGAAGAAAAAGCAUCGGCUAACUCCGUGCCAGCAGCCGCGGUAAUACGGAGGAUGCGAGCGUUAUCCGGAUUUAUUGGGUUUAAAGGGUGCGCAGGCGGAGGUAAAAGUCAGCGGUCAAAUUGCGGGGCUCAACCCCGUACUGCCGUUGAAACUGCAUGCCUUGAGUGCGCGAGAGGUAUGCGGAAUGCGUGGUGUAGCGGUGAAAUGCAUAGAGAUCACGCAGAACGCCGAUUGCGAAGGCAGCAUACCGGAGCGCGACUGACGUGCAGGCACGAAAGCGUGGGUAUCGAACAGGAUUAGAUACCCGGGUAGUC